rnacentral:rRNA from 1 species
GACGAACCGUGCAAACGUUAUUCGGAAUCACUGGGCUUAAAGGGUGCGUAGGCGGCCAGAUUAGUCAGGCGUGAAAGCCCUGGGCUCAACCUGGGGACUGCGCUUGAUACGGUUUGGCUUGAGGACGGAAGAGGCUCGCGGAAUUCCCAGUGUAGAGGUGAAAUUCGUAGAUAUUGGGAAGAACACCGGUGGCGAAGGCGGCGAGCUGGUCCGUACCUGACGCUGAGGCGCGACAGCGUGGGGAGCAAACAGG